AAACAUCGCCUAUUGAAUAUAUAAUAGGUCCAUCCUGCCCAGUGACAUAGUUCAACGGCCGCGGUAUCUUGACCGUGCAAAGGUAGCAUAAUCAUUUGCCUUUUAAUUGUAGGCUAGUAUGAAAGGACACACAAGAAUAAUUCUGUCUCUUCUAGAUUUAAUAUAAACUGAUAUUUAGGUGAAGAAGCCUAAAUUACAAUAAAGGACAAGAAGACCCUAUAGAGCUUUAUCAGUAGCAGCCCUUUUUACUAAACUACUGAUUUGGUUGGGACAACCAAAAGACAUAUAAACCUCUUUUAUACCACACUACUCCAACCCAACAAUGAAUUAGAAUCAGCUACCUUAGGGAUAACAGGCUAAUCCUACUAGAGAGACCAUAUUGACAGUAGGGGUUGGCACCUCGAUGUUGGCUUAGUGUAACCGUCAGGCGCAGCCGUUUGACAGAGUUGGUUUGUUCAACCAUUAAAUCACUACGUGAU
rnacentral:rRNA from 1 species